AUGAAAUGGAUGAGAACGUGCUAAGGGACUCAAGCCAAGGAAGGACAAAGUUUAACCAGUGGGUCAAAUCAGGCCCUUGUCUGUCUGUUCCAGAUAAAGUUUUAUUGAAACACAGCCGCACCCACUUGUUUACGUAUUUGCUUUUGUGCUGCAGUGGAGAGCUGAGCAGAUGUGACAAAGAAUGCGUGACCCUCAAAGUCUAAAAUAUUUACUGUCUGACCUUUUACAAAAAGAGUUUGCUAACUCCUAGCUUAAACAGUGGGAAAAUGUGAAUAUUAUUUAUAUUGUAAUGAUAGGAUGAAUGCUGAAAAUCAUUAUACAAACAAUAUAUAACUUCUGUGGAAGCAGUGGUUAUAAAAGUAAUAAUAGGUGGGCACAGUGGCUCACACCUGUAAUCCCAACACUUUAGGGGGCCGAGGCAGGAGGAUUGCCUGAGGCCUGGAGUUCAAGACUAUCCUGGGCAACUUAGCGAGACCCCACAAAAUCAAAAAAUUAGCUAGGUGUAGUGGCACAUGCCUGUCAUCCCAGCUACUCAGGAGGCUGAGGUGGGAGGGUCACUUGAACCCAGGAGUUCGAGAUUGCAGUGAGUCAAGAUUGUGCCACUGCACUCCGGCCUGAGCAAGAAGCAAAACUCUGUCUCAAAAAACAAAAGUAAUAAUAACUAACAUUUUGGCAUACCAGGCAUUGUUCUAAGCAUUUUAUAUAAAUGUUCACUCAUUUAAUCCUCAUAAGAAUCAUAUAAAAGGUCAGGCAUGGUGGCUCAUGCCUGUAGUCCCAGCACUUUGGGAGGCUGAGGCUAGAGAUCACUUGAGACCAGGAGUUCGAGACCAGCUUGAGCAACAUAGCGAGACCCCUGUCUCUACAGAAAAUUUAAAAAUCAGCCAGCUGUGGUGGUGUGCACCUGUAGUCCCAGCUACCUGGGAGAUUGGGGCAGGAGUAUCACUUGAGCCUAGGAAUUCUCAGCUGCAGUGAGCUAUGAUUGCAUCACUGCACUCCAGCCUGGGCCACAGAGUGAGAUCUUGUCUCAAAAAAAAAAAAAAAAAAAUCAUACAAGGUAAGUGUUUUUAUUAUACCCAUUUUAUAAUGGGGUAAAGAAACUGAGGUAUGGAGAGGCUAAAUGACUUGCCUAAGGUCACCCAGGUAACUGGCAGAGGAGGGAUUUGAACUUGAGCAACCUGGUCCUGGAGCCCAUUAUGCUAUUCUGCCAAUUGAUGCUAUAGGGGAGAGAGGCGUUGCUUCUGCCUGGGGUUUUGCAGGACGUGUAGGAGUUGUACAGUACAAAAUGCCAGGGUGCUUUGCCAGUCACAUAAAGACCAGGGACUGAAUAGCUGUGAGGUUCAUCAGAGACAAUUUGGCUUUCCUACCAGUGGCAAACCACAGGCUGCAAUGGACUUGGCAAUAUUCGACCCUGGGAGCCAGGACCAGCUGCAGAAUUUGUAGAAUUUUGCAAAAUGAAAAUGCUGGCUGAGUGCAGUGACUCACACCUGGAAUCCCAGCACUUUGGGAGGCUGAGGCGGGCAGAUCACAUGAGGUCAGGAGUUCGAGGCCAGCCUCGCCAACAUGGUGAAAUCCCAUCUCUACUAAAAAUAUAAAAAUUACCCAGGCAUAGUGGCGGGCACCUGUAGUUCCAGCUACUUGGGAGGUUGAGGCAGGAGAAUCACUUGAACCUGGGAGGUAGAGGUUGCAGUGAGCCGCCAUCACACACUGCACUCCAGCCUGGGCAAUAGAGCAAGAGUCAGUCUC
rnacentral:lncRNA from 10 species